UGCUCCCGGAUGUUAGCGGCGGACGGGUGAGUAACACGUGGGUAACCUGCCUGUAAGACUGGGAUAACUCCGGGAAACCGGAGCUAAUACCGGAUAGUUCCUUGAACCGCAUGGUUCAAGGAUGAAAGACGGUUUCGGCUGUCACUUACAGAUGGACCCGCGGCGCAUUAGCUAGUUGGUGAGGUAACGGCUCACCAAGGCGACGAUGCGUAGCCGACCUGAGAGGGUGAUCGGCCACACUGGGACUGAGACACGGCCCAGACUCCUACGGGAGGCAGCAGUAGGGAAUCUUCCGCAAUGGACGAAAGUCUGACGGAGCAACGCCGCGUGAGUGAUGAAGGUUUUCGGAUCGUAAAGCUCUGUUGUUAGGGAAGAACAAGUGCAAGAGUAACUGCUUGCACCUUGACGGUACCUAACCAGAAAGCCACGGCUAACUACGUGCCAGCAGCCGCGGUAAUACGUAGGUGGCAAGCGUUGUCCGGAAUUAUUGGGCGUAAAGGGCUCGCAGGCGGUUUCUUAAGUCUGAUGUGAAAGCCCCCGGCUCAACCGGGGAGGGUCAUUGGAAACUGGGAAACUUGAGUGCAGAAGAGGAGAGUGGAAUUCCACGUGUAGCGGUGAAAUGCGUAGAGAUGUGGAGGAACACCAGUUGG
rnacentral:rRNA from 1 species